rnacentral:lncRNA from 1 species
CGAAUUUUGUGGGCAAGUUGGUCAAUCUCAAUUUUUGGACUUACCUCACUUUCUUGAACUGGAUGCCUCAGGCUCUGAGGAUGAGUGAAGCUGAGAUCAUUCAGCAUGCCGGUCUUGACUCUGCUGUUUUCCUCAGAAUUUACACUCUCGGGUAUCCUUUUUCUUCUCUUCCCAAAUUUUGUUGUUCCGGACAAAUUGAAUUAUGGGGAAUUCGUGUUUUCCUUAUUUUUUUUCUUCUCUCAGCGUUUCUGCUUCUGGGCCAUGUUUGUUCUCUUUGGAAUUUUGUGCUUCUUUUGGACUUGCAUCCCGGGAGUUCAUUUUCCUUAUCUUUCUUAUUUCUCAGUGUUUCUCCUACUGGGUGUUGUUUUCUCCUUUGAAGUUUUGUGUUUUCUUGAGAAUUUUGCAUUGUGGGGAAUUUGUUUAUUUAUCUUUCUUAUUUUUCUCAGUAUCCUGCUUAUGGGUGGCAUUUGUUCUCUUUGCAAGUUUGUGAUUUCCUGAGAGCUGGGGAAUUCAUUUUCCCGCUCCCCCUUAUUUUAUCAGUGUUUCUGCUUCUGGGUGUUCUUUGUGUUCCUCGGAAGGUUGUGUUUUUCCUUAGAAUUUUCAGUCUAGGGAUUUCGGUUUUUGGGUAUCUUUCUUAUUUUUCAGUGUUUUAGGUUCUGGUUGUCCUUUAUGUUCUUUUUCCUAGGAUUUUAUGUUUUCCAGAGAAUUUGAAUUAUGGGGAAUUCCUUUUCCUUGUCUUCUUUAUUUUCCCAAUGUUUCUUCCUCCCUCCGAGUAGUGUGUUUGUCUUUCUGGAAGUUUGCAGUUACACUCUGAAAUUUAUUUCAUCCUUUUUCCUUUGGGCUUUGGUCGGUAGAGUUAGUUUGUUUAUGGCUCCACAAAGCGCAUCGUUUUCAAAACGGUUUUGACCUGUGAAAUCGAUGAAAUUGAAUACCAGGCCGUUUUCAUAUUUUUGAACGUUUUUGGUUCAAAAUUCUCGUGAAAACGGAUUGAUCUCUACCAAAAUGUUGAAAAUGAUAUUUCAAAACGCCCUGCCAAUUCUGUUUUUCUUGUCGGUGUUUUAUUUUUUAAUUCUCUUGUUGGUUUAUUUCCAGAAAAACGGAAAUAACAUCAAAACCCAUGGAUGUUAUAGCGUGCUUUCUUCUAUCUUUUCUUAUUUGCUCAGUAAUUUCUACUCUUGCUGUUUCUUUUCUUUUCUUUUCUUUUUUUUUUUUCAGAAAAAUCUAGGCUCCCCUGCUUAACUGGCAUUAAAGUUUGAGGAUAUGCUGUUAUAUUUUAUAGUUUUUUUUUGUUUUGGUGUAAAGUAUUUUUGGGCCUCUCUUUCUUAUGCUGCAAAUAGAUUGGGUAAAGGUAGGAAAGAGCAUUCAUGAACAGUGGGUCAUCUCUCUCUUUCUCUCUCAUCUUUUUUAUUUUUUUACUUUAUUGUGUUGAAAAAUGACCAAUUUCUUAGCUGUGAUUUUGACAUUUAUAUUUGAUGUAUUUUGAAGCUUCAUGGUCUAUGGAUAAUCUUAUCACCAACCAGUUUUUGGUUUGUUUUUUGCCAGAUUAAAAAUUUUCUUACCAGUGACUGUUCUGGCGCUCCUUAUUCUUGUUCCAGUCAAUGUAUCUAGUGGAACAUUAUUUUUUCUGAGGAAAGAACUGGUUGUGAGCGAUAUUGAUAAGCUUUCAAUAUCUAAUGUCCGUCCUGAAUCAACAAGGUAACUUUGCUUUUCUCUUAGACAAGGAGAUAUAUUUUCAAAAUGUGAAGAAACAUAUUUAUAGCUUCCUGCCAUAUAUGUGAUUGACUUUGCUGUUGUUUCCCUUUGGUCAGACAUAAAUCACUGUGUUAAUGAAAUAUAAAAACAUUUCUGGAUGAAAUAAGAUUAAAGUGAAACUACAGAAAUGCAUAUUGGAGGAUUUAGAUGUAGUUUGUUAGCAAAUCUUUGAGAUUGGUUGACAAUGUGCUUUCCCAACUGAAUUAAAGAGGUUUGAUCUAUUCUCAUUGGAUGAACAUAAGUUUUGAAGCACAUGACUUAUCUCAAGAGAACUUGGGGCAAAUUUUUAAUGGUGCAGACAAUAAUAAAUUAGGAGAGGAUGCAAGAUUUUAAUUAGAAUGUUUCUUAAAGAUGCUCCAAGUGGGCAAAGAUAAGAAACCCUUGUCUAAAGUAGCUGUUGAUGAUGCAAAUGGGCCAUGAAAAGUGGCCUAAAAAGCCAAGCACUUGUAAGAUGACGUCUCUCAGUUGAGAGAGUGGCACUAUAUGGCAGAGAAAAAGAGAGAAAAGUAGUGAAGGAAGGCCAAGUGUGCAAAUUCUAGACCUUGGUAUGCACCACCUUAGCAUGUUUGUGCCAACACAUGAAAGAAGAGGGUAACAUGAUUCAUCAAGCUUGUCCAAUCCAGCUCAUAAUGCCACCCCCACUGUAGAUGAUUCAAGGCUUAGGAACCUUCUCCCUUGGUUGUGCUCCAAUUCUUAGGUUGUACAACUUAUCACUUACAUCAUAAAUGCAUGUUGUCAGGGCUAUUGUAACCUUGAAAGCUCCCUUAAUUUGCCCUAUUCUCCUUCUUGAGCUGCAUUCCUUCUGUCCAUGUCAUUGCUAAGGUAACAAAGAGGGCAUAUGUUGGAUUUUGUUGAUUUAUUAGACUCUAGCGCAUUCCUUUAGUUUUCCCCAUUAUGUUAGACACUGUAUAGGAGAGAUAUCUAUGUCCAUGUUGGAUUUUGUAGAUUGGUUGGGUUCAAAGUAGGCGUGGGUAGGAUCUACACUUUUCUUUUAUCUUGUUUGCUUGGCACCCUAUGUAUAUGCUCCUUGUAUACUCUGGUUUGUCCUUGUUGUAGCUCCUUUUGUAUCUCCUCUUUUUAUAUAUUUUGAAUAUAUCUUAUGCUUAUUAGGAAACAAAAGUGCCUCGCAUAUGAUGAAACUGAAAGAAAAGUACAAAAGUUUCAGUACUGUUAGUGCUGACUGCUUGAAGCACUGAUUUUAUAGGUCCAAAAACCCUUAGGUUAAUUACUGAUUUCACUUAAUAGUUUGGUAUUGCUUUCCAGAUUUACCAUUUCACUCUUGUGGUGACAUUCUUUAGACUUGCAGUGAUAUUAUCUCCAUAGAUAUCAGUAACUACAUAUCUUUAUGUACAAACCUUUCUAUAAAGCUAUGAUAAGAUUCAGCAACUUGCACGGUAAACAUUAUAGUAGCGAAUUUCUGCGCUUACUAAGAGCAAUUCUUUAGUUGUAAGUUCUCAAGCUAAUUUCACUUGGAAAUCUCAAGUUUUUCCCAAAGAGAGCCUUCAGAUGGUUAGGGGCUAAUAAAAGAGUGAAUAUUUAUCUGUUACAGAUAAAGAGACCAUUUAAAGCUUUUCAACACUAAGUAUUCUGUUCUUUACUUAAAUAGCAACAAGCCAGCCAGUGGUUCAUCUCUUUCUUCAUUGUACUAUGGCUGGGAGUUUAUGAAAAUGUGCUAUUUCAGGAGUGGGGUUGCUUACAUACCCCUAGAGGUGUUCUGAGAUGAUAUUCGUUCUUCAUGUAUCCCUUAUUUCUGUUUAUAAUUUAAUGGAAUGCUUGUUUACUAUCAAAAUAAAAAUGUUAUAUCUUGUUUAAUUUUUUGAAAUUCAUUUCUUUACCUGUUUGACAACUAAGAAAUAAAGCAGCAAUUUUUUAGGGGCUCCUAGAAGGGAAUGAGGAGUUCUUAUGGGCUCAAGGAAUUUUGACAGGUUAUGCCAACCUAAGAUUUGUUUUGAAACAGUUCAUUUCAAGGAUGUAAUAUCAUAUCCAAGAUCUGAGUGUGGCUUUGAGAGAGCUGCAGUUCUUUGCUUGAGAUUGAAGCUGCAUUGUUUUAUAUCUUUUUGAAUAAUUGACUUAUUAGAUUUAUGGUUGUAUUGUGUGCAACAUUGAGGACAUCCAGCUCAUUAUGGCCGGAAAAUUACUUUCUGUAGAGGGCAAGAUAGAAGUCAAUUAAUUUUGGAUGUCACAGGAUAUGCAUUUGCUUGCUUCAUAGUAGCAGGACCAUGGGCAAAAGUUAUUUCAAUUAAUGACUAUUUUCAAUUGCUAGCUCAAUGCCAUUUUCAGCUAUCAGCAAAAAGAUGGCUCAAAUACUGUGCAAUAUUGGCUGUUAUUGACUUCAUUCUGUGUCAAACAUAAGUUUAAUAUGUGGUCAAUAAAUAGAAAAUUUUCUACUGUUAUAGAUAUCAUUUUUUUUCCCUGAUAGGAAAUGAAUUUAGGUGUCAUUCUUAUAGAUGAUGCUACUUUGGUCAGAAUUCAGAAUUUACUGUGGGAUGAUAUUGCUCUAUUGCCAAUUGUAAUUAUAAAAUGUUUAAUUUACUUUUCUUCUCUCUCACCCACUUUUAUCUCUCUUUUUCUGAAUGAAAAAGUUAUCCUGUAGAUAUUGUAUGCUUGUCCUGUGGAAAAAUUGUAAAUAUUUGAAUUUUCAGGUUUUUUUUCCACAUAGGGAUGGAGUAUCUGUUCACGAUGUGGAUUUGUUACAUGCUCUACAAGGAAUAUCAUAAUGUAGCAUUAAUGAGGUUGCAUUUCUUGGCUUCACAGCACAGGCGUGUGGAACAGUUCACUGUGAGUUGAAUGAUGUUUGCAUUACGGUACUUUGAACUUUGGUUAUCUGCAAUAAUCUUAUAAAAAAUUUAUAUCGUGGCAUCUGCUAAGAGAAUACAGUGAUGUGAUUAUUCUUUGUUCCAGUCUUCAAAUAUUAACUACUCAGUCAAGUGGAGUUGAGGGUCAUGAAGUUUCAUAAUUAUUACUUAUGUUACAUGAUCUUAUUUUCUAUUUCCUUUCCAUUCUUUCAGAGAAAUUUUGGUAUGCUGUUGGUUGUCUGUUUAUCAAUUAGAAUGGAUUCUUUUUGUCCUUAGAUAAAGAUUGUAUAUGCAGGGAAAAUAGGAAGGUGAGCAAGCAGUAAAGAAAAGGACCAGAACUGGAAAAAUCUAGCCUGGAAUAUCAGGUUCUAAACCACUUCCAUUAUGAGUCUGGGAAUGCAUAAAGAAGUUGAAGAUUUGCAUAUACAGAGAUAAAAAUUCAAAACCUACCUAGAGGAAGAAAAAAGAGCAUCCUCUUCACCCUUUUCCACGAGUCUCCAGAUCAUCGAAAAUCAUGUUGACUUUCCGAACACUGGGCACAGAGAAGUAAUAUUACCUCCAAAACAUUUGCACUUCUUUAUCUGGGCCUUGGAAUACCUAGAAGUAAAAAACUUUCUGAACAAAAGAAGGAAUAUAUAUCAUCCAACACUUGCAAAUGAAAGCUCUCAAACAGCAUCUGCAAAUUGAUUGUGGAUGCUCAAUGGAAUUUGAACUAAUUAGAAUGCUCAGACAUGGGGCAACAUAUUUUCCAAAAAUAAGAUGAUCAAUUACUAAUACCCAAGGCAACUUGCAAUUGAUUCAGUUCUAAUUAUAUUGUCAAAAUGGGCACAGUAUUGGUCAUGGAAGGGCAUGAUUGUGGUUUUGGGGACAUACAUGGACAUUUUAUUCUCUUGCAAAGACAUUCAUAAAACUCUCUAAAUGGAGAAUGCUCACAUAUGCUUGGAGAAUGUUCUCUGAUGUCAAACAUUUCUUAAGGUUCUGUUCAUCUUUUAGGUAAGUGAAGUCUUGGUAAGGGAGUGUUUAAUGUUAGAUGCUGUCUGUAUCACCAGGAUUAACUGCCAAAAGCUCUUUCUGACUGCUAAAGUGCUUUGGAUUGUGUCUACUUACAAGCUAAUCAUGUUGAUUCAGAAUAUGCACCUUUAUCAAGGAGUAAUUUAAUCCAAGUUGAAGGCACAAAGUUACAAGAAGUAUGCCAAAAAAAGACAUGGUUUGGCAUGGAGAAAAGGCAUGAUUGAGGCCUCUAAUAUACAAUAUGGCUCUAGAUAGGACCGGAUGGUAAAAAGGAUUCAUGUAGCCAACUCCCUCAGGGCAAAAAAAUGCUGCCUUUGCAUAAACUCUCCUCCUAUGUCAGAGAAAUUUGAAAAAAUGUUAAAGAAAAAUUCCAAUCUAAUAAUUAAGUAAAUGCAAUAUAGUAAACAAACUAAUAUAAUGCAAAAGUCUUACUUUCUUGCUGAAAUAUUAUUUCUUAGUGAGAAAAUGGUGAUCAGAUAAGAGGCCUAGGGAAACACUUUUAGACAUGUAUUUUGUGUGUGUGUGUUUUUUAUAGGUAAAAAUAUAUAUUUAUAAAUUAGUAAUAGGAAAAAGUACACCAAAGUACACUGGCAUAUACAAGGAGAACCUAAAGGAAGACGUCAAAAAACCUCCCUGACUCUCAACAAGACCCCACUCAAUCUACAAAAUCAAACAAAGGUAUUGAGCCUUCACUCAAGUACAUGCUAACCCAAGCUGAAAGAUUAUAAAGGAACAAAAGUUUUAUCUUCUAAUCAGUCUAGAAAAUAUGCAAUUCUUGUCUGCAGAUCUUCCAUUUUGCACUAUUAAGUACUUGUGUUUUGAAAUCCCCUAAAAGAAGUCCUAUAUAUCUGGAUUCCUCAUGCAUACUGAUUCAAAAUGUAUGAUCAGUUUCAACUAAAUGGCACAAAAUGCUGCAGAACUUUUGUGAAAGAAAAAGAAGUAUAAUGCAUUUUAUGAUGGGUUUUGUAAUUUUGUAUAUCAUAUAUCUUAGGUGUGAAUAAGCCUAACUGCUCUAGUACUCACAUUUGCUUUGAUGUGUGAUGAAUUCAGAAUUUACUGUUGUGAUUUAUGUUAGACAAGAUUUUAGAUUCUUUUACAUUGAUGUUUUUGUAGGUGGUGGUUAGGAAUGUGCCGCAUGUUUCUGGUCACUCAAUAUCAGAUACUGUAGACCACUUCUUUCAAACAAACCACCCGAACCAUUAUAUUGAUCACCAGGUAAUACAGUUCUUUUAGAACUUUCAUGGGAAAAAUCCCUAUUCCAUUAUCUGUCUUAUAAAACUAGUCCAACCAUAAUAACUCUUAUUAGGAUUUAUUGGAUUAACUCUACAUGUAUGAAUAUUGUGCCUGUUCUUUAUCUUAAAGGACUUCAUUUAGUUUUAUAAUCUAUUCACGUUAUUUAGGUACUUUUAUGCAGGCUGUCUAUAAUGCAAACAAAUAUUCCAAACUUGUGAGAAAAAGAGAGAGGGUCCGAAAUUGGCUAGACUAUAACAAGCUUAAGUUUGAAAGACAUCCAGACAGGAGACCGACUACAAAGGUAAUUCAUUUAAUCAACCCAAAUGGUUUAAACUGCAGUAGUUUGGUAUUUUUUUAAGUAGUUCCAUGGACCAUUUAAUUAUGCUAGUACAAAUCACCUAUAAACAUUUGGAACUCUGGAUGUGACAAUCUGGAAUCUUUUCAUUUUUCAGAUUGGAUUUCUUGGGAUCUGUGGUAAAAGAGUUGAUUCGAUUGAGUACUAUGAACAACAGAUAAAGGAGAUUGAUAAAAGGGUAAUUCACAAAUGUUACUUCAUCUGGAAUCUAUUGAAUGCUGCAGUUUUUUUGGCAUAGGAAUCUAUUGCUUCAUGAUGUGUUAUCCAUGAAUUGUUGCACCUUUAAAAAAUUUCCGUUAUCUUUUUUAGGGAGAUUAACUUAUCUCAGUAAAUCUGAUGUCCUAGUAUUUUUUCUUCCCUUUUGAAUGUUGAGUUGCUCUAAUAUACGGAUGCUUGAUCCUUGUAUUAUGUGCUAGAUUGCAUUAGAACGCCAGAGAAUUCUCAAGGACCCAAAAUCUAUUAUGCCAGUUGCUUUUGUUUCAUUUAAUUCACGUUGGGGUGCUGCAGUAUGUGCACAGACACAGCAAAGUAGGAAUCCCACACUUUGGCUCACAAAUUGGGCUCCAGAACCUCGUGAUGUGUACUGGCAGAAUUUGGCUAUUCCAUUUGUUUCUUUGAGCAUCCGG